CACUUAGCGUAAGCUAGGUAUACUAAUUUAUUAGUAAGCGAACGAGGGGAAGUGAAACAUCUCAGUACCCUUAGGAAAAGACAUCAAUAGAGAUUCCCCUAGUAGCGGCGAGCGAACGGGGAGGAGCCGACGGAUUUAUAUGUAGAAGAACAGUGUGGGAAAACUGGCCAUAGUGGGUGAUAGCCCCGUAUUCGAAACAUAUAAUGAAGCAUAUUAAGUAGUGCGGAACACGAGAAAUUCUGUAUGAAGAUGGGGGGACCAUCCUCCAAGGCUAAAUACUCCUGACUGACCGAUAGUGAACCAGUACCGUGAGGGAAAGGCGAAAAGAACCCCUGUGAGGGGAGUGAAAUAGAACCUGAAACCGUGUGCGUACAAGCAGUGGGAGCCCACUUGUUGGGUGACCGCGUACCUUUUGUAUAAUGGGUCAGCGACUUAUAUUCUGUAGCAAGGUUAACCGUUAGGGGAGCCGUAGGGAAACCGAGUCUUAAUAGGGCGUAUAGUUGCAGGGUAUAGACCCGAAACCGAGUGAUCUAUCCAUGAGCAGGUUGAAAGUGCCGUAACAGGCACCGGAGGACCGAACCCACUGUCGUUGAAAAGCCAGGGGAUGACUUGUGGAUAGGGGUGAAAGGCUAAUCAAACUCGGUGAUAGCUGGUUCUCCCCGAAAGCUAUUUAGGUAGCGCCUCGGACGAACACCAUUGGGGGUAGAGCACUGUUUCGGCUAGGGGGUCAUACCGACUUACCAAACCGAUGCAAACUCCGAAUACCGAUGAGUGAUAUCCGGGAGACAYACGGCGGGUGCUAACGUCCGUCGUGGAGAGGGAAACAACCCAGACCGCCAGCUAAGGCCCCAAAUUCCUAGUUAAGUGGGAAACGAAGUGGGAAGGCAUAGACAGCUAGGAGGUUGGCUUAGAAGCAGCCAUCCUUUAAAGAAAGCGUAAUAGCUCACUAGUCGAGUCGGCCCGCGCGGAAGAUGUAACGGGGCUCAAACUAGGAGCCGAAGCUGCGGAUUUGAAAAUUGUUUCAAGUGGUAGGGGAGCGUUGUGUAAGCCUGUGAAGGUGURUCGUAAGGUAUGCUGGAGGUAUCACAAGAGCGAAUGCUGACGUGAGUAACGAUAAUGCGAGUGAAAAGCUCGCACGCCGGAAGAUCAAGGGUUCCAGUCCAACGUUAAUCGGGGCUGGGUGAGUCGACCCCUAAGGCGAGGCCGAAAGGCGUAGUCGAUGGGAAAUCGGUUAAUAUUCCGAUACUUGUUUAUGAUGUGAUGGAGGGACGGAGAAGGUUAUGCCAGCCUGGCGAUGGUUGUCCAGGUGGAAGGAUGUAGGUAGACGGCUUAGGCAAAUCCGGGCUGUUAAUACUGAGAUCUGAUAGCAAGCUGUAMUUGUACAGCGAAGUGGCAAAUACCAUGCUUCCAGGAAAAGCUUCUAAACUAUAGUCAUAAACGAAUCGUACCCUAAACCGACACAGGUGAUCAGGUAGAGAAUACCAAGGCGCUUGAGAGAACUCUGCUGAAGGAACUAGGCAAAAUGGUACCGUAACUUCGGGAGAAGGUACGCUGYYGRWGGUGAAGGACUUGCUCCGUAAGCUWYURRCAGUCGCAGAUACCAGGCUGCUGCAACUGUUUAUUAAAAACACAGCACUCUGCAAACACGAAAGUGGACGUAUAGGGUGUGAUGCCUGCCCGGUGCUGGAAGGUUAAUUGAUGGGCUUAGCGUAUGCGAAGGUCUUGAUCGAAGCCCCAGUAAACGGCGGCCGUAACUAUAACGGUCCUAAGGUAGCGAAAUUCCUUGUCGGGUAAGUUCCGACCUGCACGAAUGGCAUAAUGAUGGCAGCGCUGUCUCCAGCAGAGACUCAGUGAAAUCGAAAUCGCAGUGAAGAUGCUGUGUACCCGCGGCUAGACGGAAAGACCCCGUGAACCUUUACUACAGCUUUACAUUGAACUUUGACCUGACUUGUGCAGGAUAGGUGGGAGGCUUUGAAGCAGAUACGCCAGUAUUUGUGGAGCCAUCCUUGAAAUACCACCCUGGUCAUGUUGGGGUUCUAACUCAGGUAUAACAAUACCGAGGACAAUGUAUGGUGGGU
rnacentral:rRNA from 1 species